CGUUCUAUUUUUCUGCCGCGUGUAUUAUCUGGUUCUAAAACUAUAAAACAGAGAACCUAGUGUCCAUUUUAGAACUCAAUACUUCGACCGCCGGAACUUUUACGCUACCGGCGGCUAUCGGCAAAUCUAUCAUGAUUCAUUGGCAUUCGGCAUAUUCGAAUUCAACAACUCUAUUUUGCGUUUAAUUUUUUAGAAAAGUUCAUUGAACUUGUUGGUGUUCUUGAUGGUUCAAGUGACGAUGUCCGAUCAAAACCCUAACCCUAAAUCAAUUGAUCUAUCUAUCCAUUGACAUUCUGCUAUGAACUGGAUAGGAACCUAUUGACUUCAACGACAUGCUAUAUGUUAAAAGGGCUGGUCAAAUUCUGCCCCUAAUUUGUUGUACCAUAUCUACAUAUUUCUUUGCUGGAAUUGUUACCAAA